rnacentral:rRNA from 1 species
AGGGAAUAUUGCACAAUGGAGGAAACUCUGAUGCAGCGACGCCGCGUGAGUGAUGAAGGACUUCGGUUCGUAAAGCUCUGUUGCAGGGGAAAAAGAAAGUGAUUGUACUCUGCGAGAAAGGGUCGGCUAACUUCGUGCCAGCAGCCGCGGUAAGACGAGGGACCCUAGCGUUGUUCGGAAUCAUUGGGCGUAAAGCGGGUGUAAGUGGCUUUGUAAGUCGGGUGUGAAAGCCCAGGGCUCAACCCUGGAAGUGCAUCUGAUACUGCGAAGCUUGAGUGCUGGAGAGGUUACUAGAAUUCCUGGUGUAGUGGUGAAAUACGUAGAUAUCAGGAGGAAUACCGGUGGCGAAGGCGGGUAACUGGCCAGACACUGACACUCAGACCCGAAAGCGUGGGGAUCAAAC